rnacentral:rRNA from 1 species
UACGAAGGGGGCUAGCGUUGCUCGGAAUCACUGGGCGUAAAGCGCACGUAGGCGGACUCUUAAGUCGGUGGUGAAAUCCUGGAGCUCAACUCCAGAACUGCCUUCGAUACUGGGAGUCUCGAGUUCGGAAGAGGUGAGUGGAAUUCCGAGUGUAGAGGUGAAAUUCGUAGAUAUUCGGAGGAACACCAGUGGCGAAGGCGGCUCACUGGUCCAUUACUGACGCUGAGGUGCGAAAAGCGUGGGGAGCAAACAGG